rnacentral:rRNA from 1 species
GCCAGACUCCUACGGGAGGCAGCAGUGGGGGAUAUUGCACAAUGGGGGGAACCCUGACGCAGCGACGCCGCGUGGGUGAAGGAGUAUUUCGGUAUGUAAAGCCCUAUCGGCAGGGAAGAAGAAAGACGGUACCUGACUAAGAAGCCCCGGCUAACUACGUGCCAGCAGCCGCGGUAAUACGUAGGGGGCGAGCGUUAUCCGGAUUCACUGGGUGUAAAGGGAGCGUAGACGGCCAAGCAAGCCAGGGGUGAAAGCCCGGGGCCCAACCCCGGGACUGCCCUUGGAACUGCGUGGCUGGAGUGCAGGAGGGGCAGGCGGAAUUCCUGGUGUAGCGGUGAAAUGCGUAGAUAUCAGGAGGAACACCGGUGGCGAAGGCGGCCUGCUGGACUGCAACUGACGUUGAGGCCCGAAAGCGUGGGGAGCAAACAGGAUUAGAUACCCCAGUAC